GGCAGACACCCCGUCGGCCCUGGAUGACUGUUGGUUCCCUGCUCCUUGACUGGGCUGAAUUAGGUCCUCUAUGUGGGAGGAUGACAGUGACAGGGUGUGGGAUGGUGAUCCUGGGUCCUCACCCCAUUCCUCAGCAGGCCUGGUUUUUAUUAAUUCAUUUGUUCAUUCUUUUAUUUAAAUUGUAUUUAUUGAGCACUUACUCUGUUAGGCCCCAGGGUUCUGAGAUUGGUGAGUCAUAGGCCCUGCUGUCAGGGAGCUCACAGUCUGGUAGGGGAAGCAGUUGCAGCGUGACAUGUACUGUGAUGGGGGGAGGCCUUGGUCAGUUGGAGCCGAGGAGGCCCCUGACCAAGUUGAGGAGGUCAGGGAAGGCUUCCCAGAGCCUUGUUGCUGUGGUGAGAACAGGCAACAGGGGCAAGGGCAGAAGCAGGAGCCCAGUGUGGAUCUAUUGCAGAAUCCAGGUGAGAGCUGAUGCAGUUUGAACCAGGGUGAUGAUAGAGAAGGUGGUGUGAAGUCCUCAGAGUCCAGAUAUGUUUUAAAGAUAGAGCUGAGAGGACGUGCGGACCAACAGCAUGUGGCAUAGAAGGAAAGAAGAGUCAAGGAUGAAGUCUCACUUGGCCGCUUGAGCACAUGGGUGUGUGGAGGUGCUGUAUACAAAAGUGGGAAGAGAGAAGAGUAGGGAAAAAAGAUUGAGACUUUGUGUGGACAUUGUUUUUGGACAUGUUUAUGUUGAGAUAUCAAGUGACCAUCAAGUAGGGUUGUUGAGUAGACAGUGGAGAUAGAGUCUGGAGCCUAAGGAAGAGGCCACGUGUGAAGAGAGAAACAUGGAAGCAGUGUGUGCAGGAGCCAGCUCAUAGUGUGUAAGCCGUGUGGGUAUCAGGAACAUUGCGAGCUAGCCGUUAAACACAGCCAUUAUUAAAAACCGAAUUAUAUAAACUUACAGUUAAAUAAUAUGUUAGUAAAGCAAAGGUAAUUUUUAAAAACUAGCAAGAGCAAAUUACACCCAAGUAAAGCAAAAGAAAAGGAAAUAAUAAAGAUAACAGCAGAAAUCAAUAAAAUUUAAGACAGAAAAAUUAGAGAAAAUUAAUGAAAAGAUGAUUCAUUGAAAAAAGAAGACACGAAUUACCAAUAUCAGGAAUUAAAGAGGGGAUAUCACUAUAGAGUCUACAAGCACUAACAGGAUCAUAAGUGAAUACUAAGAACGACUCUAGGUCCAUAAAUUUGACAACUUAGAAGAAAUGACAGAUCAAUUCUUUGGAAAACAGUUGUCUUUCACUGCAUUAGUUUUCUAUUGCUUGCUAUAAAAAAUUACCAUGAACUUGUGCCUUAUUUCAACCUGGAUUUAUGAUCUUACAGUUCAGUAGGUCAGAAGUCUGAUGCAGUUCUCACAGGGC
rnacentral:lncRNA from 1 species